rnacentral:rRNA from 1 species
GGACUACUGGGGUAUCUAAUCCCGUUUGCUCCCCUGGCUUUCGUGCCUCAGCGUCAGGAAAUGUCCAGAGACUCGCCUUCGCCACUGGUGUUCCACUUGAUAUCUACGCAUUUCACUGCUACACCAAGUAUUCCAGUCUCCCCUCCAUUCCUCUAGCCGGACAGUUUCCAAUGCAGUUCCGCAGUUAAGCUGCGGGAUUUCACAUCAGACUUGUCCAACCGCCUACGCACCCUUUACGCCCAGUGAAUCCGAACAACGCUUGGGACCUCUGUAUUACCGCGGCUGCUGGCAC